GAGCCACCCUUACUUCAGAAGAACGGCAUGGGGUGGGGGGGCCUUAGGCGGUGCCCGCCUCACCUAUGACUGCCAAAAGCGGUCAUGGGGUUAUUUUUAAACAUGGGGAGGAAGUAUUUAUUGUUCCCGGGCUGCGGAGAGCUGGGCGGAGUGUGGAAUUCUUCUCGGGAGGCAGUGCUGGGUCCUUUCCACCAUGGCACCUAAGAAAGCAAAGAAGAGAGUCGGGGGCGCCAACUCCAACGUGUUCUCCAUGUUCGAACAGACCCAAAUCCAGGAAUUUAAGGAGGUGGGUGCAGCUAUUGAAUCAUCCGCCUGGAUGGAAAUCCUUGAGGGAGAACCUUCUUUUUGUUCCAUAUUCCCAGCAGGGACCUUUCAUUAGAUGCCUCUAUCCUCCAAACAAUCCCAAAUUCGGCCUGAACGGAUGUGUGAAUUUUUAAAAGAAACUAUUUUUAAUAUUUUCACUGAUUAUCAAAGUAAAACAUAUUCCUUGUUGAAAAAUGUCGGAAAAUUUUUCAGAAAAGCACAAAAAAGGAAAUAAAAACUACCUACAAUUCUA
rnacentral:sRNA from 1 species